UAUAAUAGACGAUCUUAGACAACUUGAAUAUUAUUGAACCUAUCUCAGUUUAGCUAGGUGCGACAUUUCAAAGGUUAUAUUUUACUUAAAAUGCUUAUUUUAUUUAUAGCGACAAGGUCACUCAGGGGUCAAGAUUCACAGCAAGAAGGUCGCUGUUUCGAGUCCCGGCUGGGUCAGUUGGCAUUUCUGUGUGGAGUUUGCAUUUUCCCCCUGUGAGUUUCUUCCAGGCGCUCAGGUUUCAGUCCCAAGACAUGCGCUACAGCAACAUCUUGCUGCCGGCGGAUUUUGCAGUGAUGGAAUUCUGUCUUCUUGGUAUCUUCAGUUAGUUUGAAGAUUGGGUCUUCAGACGUGGAAAACUUCAAUCAUACAGCUUGGUCCCUUUAUUCAUCAGAGGUCACCACAGCAGAAUGAACCGCCAACUUAUCCA